UGAACAUUGGGAGCUCACUCAAUGUAUCUGAACCAUGGCAGCACCGCACGACGUACACAACACCGACAAUAACUUGUGCUAUAAUCUGCAAGGUGCAAAAGUAUAGCAUGAGCACCUGUAACGCCCCAAAAAUGGGUCCCGAGAUAUCACACGGUGCUUAGGGUCACAAUUUACACCAAGCUAAUCCUCCUACUAGCAUAACUCAUUAGAAACUGAAUAAAAUGCAUAAAUCUGAAAGAAAAAUAUGGAAUAUAAAUCUUCUAUGAAUUUGCUCAAUACAACAUGAAUAUAUAAAUUACAAAUCUGCUUUUUCCAACAAACUAAAAUUGAAUACAUCUACUUCUACUAACUGUUUAUAAAGCCUCUGCUAGUACUAAGUAUAGGUAGUUGGGUUAUGACUCCCAACUAUCCCAACUCAAUACGACAUAUUCUCGAACUGUAUAAAUAACUGAAGCCCUUGAAUCAAAGGACUCAUCACUUGUUGACUGGAUACCACAAACUAACUGGAUCUGAAGGUGCAUACUGUACCUUGUACCUACAUUCCGAGAAAAUGUAGCCCACAUAUGAAUAUGUGGGUCAAUACCAUGGAAAUGUACUGAGCAUAUGGGGGUGCAAUGUAUAUAUAACAGAAUAUCUUAAUAUCAUCACAAUUUAUAAAAUUAUGUAUACUAAUAUAAAUGACUCACUUAGUUCAAAUUAAAUAAUCAAAAUCAUGGAUGAAUAAUACAUGUAAAGUAAAAAAAGUGAGUCCCUACAAUAUGUUCUCAAUUCACUUUUCUCUUGGUUUCAAACUCAUAAAGUAAUCAUGUCUUAAAACAGCUUUAUUUAUAGCAUACAUUUCAAUCUUUUAGAAACAAGUAACUUUCUCAAAAAUCAUUGUUUUCAAACCAUACACACUUAUUUUAGAUAUAGCAGAGACACACACACCCCAUGGGAGUUUCUUAUAACCGACGUAAAGUAUGUGAGCUUAUUAUGGAUUCCAACGUUUUGUCCUCCUAAGAAAGAAACCCCACGUUGGGAAGGAGCGUCAUACUCUUUCCAGGGAGUAUAACCUCAACUCAGUGAUCACAAACUCAGCCUUAGGCCCAUAAAUCUCAAAUCCUACGGUGGCAUGUAGUUCUGAGGAAGUAGCGUACACUCACCCACGCCUCCUGCUCGGUGCUAAAUACUACUCCCGUACUCAAGCUCAGUCUCAUUUAGGAAAUCCACCUCAAAAUAAUCUUAAUGGCCUAUAGUGAAGGCCAAAUCAUAUUUAUCAUAAUUAAAUCAUAAUAAAUUGUGAAUUCCUAUUUUCAACUCCAAAAUCAUGAUAUAAAUUUCAAUUCAAAUAUUGGUACAUAAUUUGAUAAAGGAAAAUUCCAAAUCAUAAUAUCAUAAAAAUCCAAUUUCAACUUUGACAUAAAUAUAACGAUUCCAUCUUCCAAAAUACCAUCUCAAGUUCCAUACUUAUUCAAUAUCAAAAAAACAAUCUUUGCUUUUGGGAAAUACUUAUAAAAUCAUGUCCACGACUCAAGAUCAAAAUCUCCGUAUAAUUUUAUUACAUAUAUUUAAUACCCAAAAUAUAAAGAUUUAAUACAUCAAAAUCAUAUCUAAAUUUCAUACUCAACGAUCAUCUCGAAAAUCUUCACUUAAAAUCAAUUAAAAUAUUGGGAAUAAAUUCAUGACAUAAAUAUUAUAAUUUCAACAACUCAAAAUUCAUAUCACAAAUUUCGUAAAUUCAUUCUCAAUACUCAUUUCAAAUAAAUUCAGCAACAUCAAUUCUUAAUAGGAAAAUAUAAAUCAAAAUAUGUAUAUCUCAACUCAAAUCAUAUCAAGAUAAAAUAUAAUGCCUUCAAAUGCCCAAUUCAUGGAUAAUUACAUAAACUAAAAAUAAGAUAAAUUGGUAUAAACUUCAACAUAAAAAUUUACGUAAUCUUUAUAAAAAUCAAGUUUUGGACACAAGAACAGAAGGAUUACUCUUGUUCAACACCCACAUACCUCAAAUUUAGGACUUUGGAUGAACUUACGAUUCCGGAACUCUAUUUGUAAGAUUGGUAGGUGCUCCUUGUAGCUCUUGCAAUGAGGAUUCCAAAUCUUGAAUAAAUUUCAAAUUUUUAUGGUUGAAUUUUGAUGGAUCUUGAUUUGUAUAUUGGGACUAGGGAGCGUUAUUCUUGGGAAUUUUUCUAAAUAUGACCAUAAUAUGGUCAAUUGGAACAUAAAUCCCGUAUUAAUGGACUAAUAAAUCGUGGAAAAUUAC
rnacentral:lncRNA from 1 species